rnacentral:rRNA from 1 species
AAAUUCAUUGAUCAACACCCCCUCUGUGAACACGUUACCCUGUUGCUUCCCGUGGGUUUUCCAGGCGGCCGCCUGCCCCCUUGACCGGGGGAUGGCCACUGGUCGCCGGCCCGCGGGGAGGUCUCCAACCGAAACCCUUUUGUUUUUGUCAUGCCGUCUCUAGUCUGAAAUCAAACUAAGAAAACGUUAAAACUUUCAACAACGGAUCUCUUGGUUCUCGCAUCGAUGAAGAACGCAGCGAAAUGCGAUAAGUAGUGUGAAUUGCAGAAUUCAGUGAAUCAUCGAAUCUUUGAACGCACAUUGCGCCUCCUGGUAUUCCGGGAGGCAUGCCUGUUCGAGCGUCAUUAAAACCCACUCAGAUUCCCUUUAGGGGGCUUUCUGGUCUUGGGGGAGCAGCGGCAACGCGAGCCCCCCCGAAAUCCAUCGUGCGGAAAGGCCCGGUGGCCCAGGCGUAGUAUUAACAUCCUCUCGUCUGGUGUCUGCCGAGCGUUCCUGCCGUCAACCCCCCCACGACUUCAAUGACU